rnacentral:rRNA from 1 species
AGUGAACGCUGGCGGUAGGCCUAACACAUGCAAGUCGAACGGCAGCACAGUAAGAGCUUGCUCUUACGGGUGGCGAGUGGCGGACGGGUGAGGAAUACAUCGGAAUCUACUUUUUCGUGGGGGAUAACGUAGGGAAACUUACGCUAAUACCGCAUACGACCUACGGGUGAAAGCAGGGGAUCUUCGGACCUUGCGCGAUUGAAUGAGCCGAUGUCGGAUUAGCUAGUCGGCGGGGUAAAGGCCCACCAAGGCGACGAUCCGUAGCUGGUCUGAGAGGAUGAUCAGCCACACUGGAGCUGAGACACGGUCCAGACUCCUACGGGAGGCAGCAGUGGGGAAUAUUGGACAAUGGGCGCAAGCCUGAUCCAGCCAUACCGCGUGGGUGAAGAAGGCCUUCGGGUUGUAAAGCCCUUUUGUUGGGAAAGAAAAGCAGCAGGUUAAUACCCCGCUGUUCUGACGGUACCCAAAGAAUAAGCACCGGCUAACUUCGUG